CCUACGGGUGGCAGCAGUAGGGAAUAUUGCUCAAUGGGGGAAACCCUGAAGCAGCAACGCCGCGUGAGGGAUGAAGGUCUUCGGGUCGUAAACCUCUGUCAGCAGGGAAGAACGGUCACUGUGCUAAUCAGCAGUGAAUUGACGGUACCUGCAAAGGAAGCACCGGCUAACUCCGUGCCAGCAGCCGCGGUAAUACGGAGGGUGCGAGCGUUAAUCGGAAUUACUGGGCGUAAAGCGCUCGUAGGCGGUAUGUCAAGUCAAGGGUGAAAUCCCCGCGCUCAACGUGGGAACUGCCUUUGAAACUGGCAAACUGGAGUGUGUGAGAGGAUAGUGGAAUUCCAGGGGUAGGAGUGAAAUCCGUAGAUAUCUGGAGGAACAUCAGUGGCGAAGGCGACUAUCUGGCACAUAACUGACGCUGAGGAGCGAAAGCGUGGGUAGCAAACAGGAUUAGAUACCCCAGUAGUC
rnacentral:rRNA from 1 species